UUUCCGUAGGUGAACCUGCGGAAGGAUCAUUAUUGUAUAACCGAGGUGCGAGGGCUGUCGCUGGCUUUUCGAAGCAAUGUGCACGCCUUUCAGACUCUUUUCUCUUCAACCACCUGUGCACCAUUUGUAGACCUUUUGGGAGGUAUUGAGGAUUUGCGCUCCAGCUGUCCUUGCUCAUAUUGUCUCCCGUGGGGUCUAUGUGUUUUUAUCAUACACAACCUAGUCUAUGAAUGUAUUUUGUUUAUGGCUUGGCCCCUUUGGGGGUUCGGGUCUUUGCAAUCUUUACACAACUUUCAACAACGGAUCUCUUGGCUCUC
rnacentral:misc_RNA from 1 species